rnacentral:rRNA from 1 species
AUACGAAAGGUGCAAGCGUUGUUCGGAUUUACUGGGCGUAAUGAGAGUGUAGGUUGUUUAUUAAGUCGGAUGUGAAAUCCCGGGGCUCAACCUCGGAACUGCAUUCGAUACUGGUAGACUAGAGUUCGGGAGGGGUAAGCGGAAUUCCGUGUGUAGCAGUGAAAUGCGUAGAUAUACGGAGGAACACCUGAGGCGAAGGCGGCUUACUGGACCGAUGCUGACACUGAGACUCGAAAGCGUGGGUAGCAAACAGGAUUAGAAACCCGGGUAGUCC